rfam:Aphanizomenon flos-aquae 2012/KM/D3 mira_32_len:24965, whole genome shotgun sequence.
GUUAGUAACUCAGCCCUAAAAAGGACUGAGCUUGUAAGAAAUUGCAAGCUGUACUGACCAGUCUAAGUCUUAACUGACUACGUUUUUUGAGUCACGACACCCACCGAAUGCGUAGCCCCUUCGGGGUUCAGCAGUCGCUCAUGGGGGAAACCCCCAAGACCGCGCUGCUUCACUAGUUCCCUGCUCUGUCAUUUGCAAUUAAACAGUUUUAAAGUCACUGAAACAGUGUUGCAAGUCUAAAAAGCUCUUAAAACAUUGACGUUCGCGCAGCGUGCCGUAGCAUCAGCUAACAUUAC